GGGCAUGUAGUAUAGUUGGUUAUUGCGCCCGCUUCGCAUACGUAUUUCGACUGCGGUUUGCGGGAGGUCUGGCGUUCGAAUCGCCACUUGUCCA